rnacentral:rRNA from 1 species
AAUGAACGCUGGCGGCAUGCCUAACACAUGCAAGUCGAACGAAGCCUUCGGGCUUAGUGGCGCACGGGUGCGUAACGCGUGGGAAUCUGCCCUUGGGUUCGGAAUAACAGUGGGAAACUACUGCUAAUACCGAAUGAUGUCGUAAGACCAAAGAUUUAUCGCCCAGGGAUGAGCCCGCGUAGGAUUAGCUAGUUGGUGUGGUAAAGGCGCACCAAGGCGACGAUCCUUAGCUGGUCUGAGAGGAUGAUCAGCCACACUGGGACUGAGACACGGCCCAGACUCCUACGGGAGGCGGCAGUGGGGAAUAUUGGACAAUGGGCGAAAGCCUGAUCCAGCAAUGCCGCGUGAGUGAUGAAGGCCUUAGGGUUGUAAAGCUCUUUUACCCGGGAUGAUAAUGACAGUACCGGGAGAAUAAGCUCCGGCUAACUCCGUGCCAGCCGCCGCGGUAAU